GGGGGCGUGGUGAAGCCUGGAGUUCACGUCGGCCUGUCAAGCCGAAGAUCGCGGGUUCAAAUCCCGUCGUCCCCGCCA
rnacentral:tRNA from 1 species